rnacentral:rRNA from 1 species
AGAGUUUGAUCAUGGCUCAGAACGAACGCCAGCGGCGUGGAUUAGGCAUGCAAGUCGAACGAGGUUCGUAGCAAUACGGGCCUAGUGGCGGAAGGGUGAGUAAUGCAUAGACAACCUACCUCCGAGACUGGGAUAACUUCGGGAAACCGAAGCUAAGACCGGAUGGGAUCGCGGUGUCGCAUGGUGCUGCGAUUAAAGAGGGCCUCUUUACAAUGCUCUUGCUCGGGGAGGGGUCUAUGUCCUAUCAGCUUGUUGGUGAGGGUAACGGCCCACCAAGGCAUUGACGGGUAGCCGGCCUUAGCGGGUGUCCGGCCACAUUGGGACUGAGACACUGCCCAAACUCCUACGGGAGGCUGCAGUCGAGGAUCUUCCGCAAUGGGCGCAAGCCUGACGGAGCGACGCCGCGUGUGGGAUGAAGGCCUUCGGGUUGUAAACCACUGUCACUCGUUAAGAAAGGGCUUGGGGUUAACAGCCUCAGGAACUGACGAAGGCGAGAGAGGAAGCCACGGCUAACUUCGUGCCAGCAGCCGCGGUAAGACGGAGGUGGCGAGCGUUGUUCGGAAUCACUGGGCAUAAAGCGCACGUAGGCGGCGGCGUAAGUCGGAUGUGAAAUCCCUCGGCCUAACCGAGGAACUGCGUCCGAUACUGCGUUGCUUGAGGACCAGAGGGGUGCAUGGAAUUUCCGGUGGAGCGGUAAAAUGCGUUGAUAUCGGAAGGAACGUCGGCGGCGAAAGCGGUGCACUGGCUGGUUUCUGACGCUGAGGUGCGAAAGCCAGGGGAGCAAACGGGAUUAGAUACCCCGGUAGUCCUGGCCGUAAACGAUGGGUACUAGGUAGGGGGGUUCCAAACGCCUCUCUGCUGGGGCAAAUGUAUUAAGUACCCCGCCUGGGAAGUACAGUCGCAAGGCUGAAACUCAAAUGAAUUGACGG